rnacentral:rRNA from 1 species
GAUGAACGCUGGCGGCGUGCUUAACACAUGCAAGUCGAACGGAGCGCUCAUGAUAGAGACUUCGGUCAAUGGAUUGGGUUGCUUAGUGGCGGACUGGUGAGUAACGCGUGAGGAACCUGCCUUUCAGAGGGGGACAACAGUUGGAAACGACUGCUAAUACCGCAUGACACAUUUGGGCGGCAUCGCUUGAAUGUCAAAGAUUUUAUCGCUGAAAGGUGGCCUCGCGUCUGAUUAGAUAGUUGGCGGGGUAACGGCCCACCAAGUCGACGAUCAGUAGCCGGACUGAGAGGUUGACCGGCCACAUUGGGACUGAGAUACGGGCCCAGACUCCUACGGGAGGCAGCAGUGGGGAAUAUUGGGCAAUGGACGCAAGUCUGACCCAGCAACGCCGCGUGAAGGAAGAAGGCUUUCGGGUGUAAACUUCUUUUAAGGGGAAGAGGGAGAAGACGGUACCCUUGAAUAAGCCACGGCUAAACUACGUGCCAGCCG